UUGGUUUUCACAUACAAAAUAGGAAGUACGAUAACAUAAGACUCGACAAACUCAACUAGAUUAUGACAGACUCUGACACCACCUAAAAGACUCGAUACUACUGUACAAGACUAGAAAGUAAAAGACAACAUAAAACAAACUCAAAAAUAUAAAAGUAUCCUCAAGCAACUCAUGUAUGCAACGGUCCUGACCGGAAUGGUCCUGGGGUAUCUGUCAUGCUCGAGCUGUGAUAAUUGAAUCCAUACCUGAAUGAGAAGAAUAAGACAAAAUAGAGUUAGUGACUCAAGAUACUAUGCGACGCCACAACACCUCCUAUUGGACACAUGCAAGGCAUGAUUGAGCUAUUUUUGCAAAAUGGCCUAUGUGGUCAAGGGUGGCUAUUAGUGCAAACUCAACAAAGGUGACCUCAAAGACAUGGAAAUACCUCAUGAAGGCCCAUAAACUCUCAGGAAUCGCGGUCCCUAAAAUUGCUUUGUGAAAAUGACCCCACUUUGCAGAAAUGGCCUAUGUGGUCGAAAUGGAUAAGCAUGCAAAUUCAAUAGGAAUGUACCUUAGACAAAGAGAAAACCUUGUGGUAGACUUAGGACUCUAAGACAUGGGUUAACAAGCCACUUUUGCGAAAAUAUCCCUAUUUUGAAAAAACGACCGAUGUGGUCGAAUGUGGCCAGACAUGCAAGAUUUGGCUAAGACCUCGCGAAGCCAAUAACUUAAGACUCACUAUAAAUAUCGGACCCUAUGUGGGCUGCCUAUGUAUCCCAUCCCGAAAGACGAGAAUCAGAUAUGCGUAGUUCGGGAAGAUUGGAUAUGGGAGAAAGUUUUGAAAAAUGCAACUAAUUUGGAAAAAACUAUUUUUUGUCUUUUUUAAAAAUGAUAAGAAAGUGUAAAAUCUUUUUGUUGUUUUUUCUUUUAGAAAAUGGGGCAAGAAACUAAAAGUGACAAAACCUUCAAUAUUCUCUCUUGCUUUAUUUUUUACCCUUCUUUCCAAACAUCAGUCCGCCAAAUGAUCUUUCUACCAUCAAAGAUGCAACAUUUAGCACAUAUGAUGAUUGAAUGUCCUUUUGGGCCGUGGACCCAUUUGACACAAUUUGGACAGGUUUCCUACAAAGGUCACGAUACCUAGGACCGGGCCCCGCUAGGUCACAAUGAUAUGAUGCAAAUAAAAAUGACCUAAAGGCUGACCUACGUUUGGGGUUCACUAAUAAGGCAAUUCGGGGGAGCGUAUGGUCGACGGUGGCUGCUCAAGCUUUCCACCCACUUCAUACGACCGACGGCCCCCCUCCUAAAAUAAGGGUAACUCAACGAAGAGUUCGUGUAUGCGACGCGUACUACGAGACUUGUUGCAGAAAGAAUUGACCGGGUAAUGCAUAUGAUGACAGUUAUAAAGCGGUAACACGUAAGGAAAAAUUGUAAACACAUAAACAACUAGCAAAUAAUAAAAACGACAUAAACAAAAUAAAAAUCAAACAAAGCAAAUAAAAACCUCCACCGAAUAUUCUAAAAAGCCAAUAAGAUCAAGUACCAGCUCGAACCUGUAAUUCCCCAGCAGAGUCGCCAAAGCUGUUACACCCCUUUUUUCCACCUCACUAACCUUCUUUGAAAUAAAUAAAAGGUGAUUUUAAAGCUCAAAAGGGUUUCAAAAUUGAAAAGUGACAAAGUAUUGUGUUAAAAGAGAUUUUCUCAUAGUCGCCACUUGGCAUAGAAUAUAAUCUCGGUGUGCCAAGUCACCAUUUAAAAACCAAUUUUUACUUUAAAAUACAUUGGACUCUUAAACCAGUUUCCACCAGAGAUUCUAGAUAAGGGGGUUCAUUUGACUCGGAGAUAAGGUGUUAGGCAUUCCCCGAGUCCCGUAACUAGUACGGUUGCGUACAUGAUCAAGUUGGCUUUUAAAAAUACUCAGCUCGAGGUGAAAACAUACAAAAGCGAAAAUAAACACGAAGGAGGCUCGAGGUCGUCCCCACCUAAAAAAAGAAAUAAAAAUAAAAUAAAAUACUAAAGUUCUAUUCUACGCUUCCUCGCAUUAACCAGUCUCUCGCCUUCAUUUACAUGUACUUUGGGGCAUUCCCCAGAUAAAAUAUUUACAAACUCUUCGGGACAUUUUCCGAAAUAUAGGGAACGAUAUCUUACCUCGAAUGAAAUAAAAGACAAGACCUAAAGUUUGCCUACCCAAUUGUGGUCGGCCUAAGCAUGCUCCUAGCGAUCCGAGCAAUUAAGAGAGCAAUAAAAUAUUUCAAUUCACUUUUAACUUUCAGUACAACCAUACGGCCAAAUACUUGAAGUCACCGAAAUUUUAAUUAACCCGCAUUAAACAUUUAUAUCUUAAUGAAGCAACGAAUCAGGGAAACCAAACUUUUUUAGUUGUGAAAAUGUAUCCAAGAAGAUUAAACCAAACCGUAUACAAACAACAAUUAGCAAAAUAAAAUGGAGCAAAUCAAAUACUAAUAGGACACACUCCAAAACAUGGGAAUAAAACGUUAACUCAUACGAUCAACUAAAACAGAGCACAUACCGAUUAAGGAGGCUAUCAAAACAAAAGCAUGACAUUAAGCAAAACGGCAAAAGAGAGAAAGAAAUGGACUUCACUGAUGAAAUCUUUCAAAGCCCGAUUAAUGAAAGAACUCCCAACAAUAAAUCAUCAGCAAAUCUUUGAACAAGCAGUUGGACACACGACCAAAAACUUCGAUCGACAACACCAAGCGGACAAACUCACUGACUGAAACUCCCUUUUGUUUGGAUACCUCGCCGGAAAAUACACAGGUUAACGAAAAUGUUGGAUCCGGCCAGAUAAAAAUCAGAGCAAAACAGGGAGAAGAUAGACGUCGCCGGACUUAAAGUUUUCUGGCGGGUUCUGGUAGAAAGGGGCUGGGGUGCGACCAUUCUUUUCUUGAAAGGAGGUCGACUGUUCUUCUUGUGUAGGGAUUCGGGAGUAGCUCGCUGGAUUUUCGGCUACAGUAGCGGAACGAGAGGGUGAGUUGGCUCUUCCUUUUCUCUGUGAUGUGUCCGUGUGUAUGUAUCUUUGUGUGUUUUUGUGUGUGUAUCUCUGUGUGUUUUCGGCAGGUUGUGGUGAAGGGAAGAAGGAGCAGCGGUGGGUAUUCUAAGGUCCUUCCACCUUGGGUAGAGUUUUCAUAAUUGGGUAUUUUAUAUUGAAGUGGAAAGGGAUGAUGGUCAUUGGAUUAGAGGGGAAUAAAUGACUAAGAUUAAAUCUUGCAUUUUAAGUGGAGAGUGUGCUAAUGAGAUGGGAAGAAUGGGCCUUUAUCUUGC
rnacentral:lncRNA from 1 species